UACGGCCGUAUAACCACGAUUGACUUCCGUAAAAGUGGUGAGAAGAGAGUGUGAUGCGGAUAAGAAGGAAAGGGACUGUUGAAAGAGACUCUGAGAGCGAAGAGGCUCUUUUGCUUUAACCACAACACUCCAAUAGCUCAAGUGAAACUCGCCUGCAGUCGAUUUGUUCUCUUGAUUUGACGAUGAAGGUCUCUAAUCUGACGAUCCGUACUAUACCAUUUAAAAGUUUCCUCGCCUAUCUGCUUGAUUAGAAACUUGAAAAACAAACAUAUUCAUAAGAAGCUUGGUUGAGACGGAGGAAGAACAUAGGGACAAGAAGAUCGAGGAGGACGAAGAUGGAACUGGGUAAUCGAUUUUCAAGUCCAGUUUGUUCUAAUCGAUUAAAGUUUUAGAUUGUUUGUUUUUGUGGUUUAAUUCGGAAUUUCUUUCAGGUCUUAAAGAUACUCUAGAAUGGUUGUCUCCAUUGUCCGCAGAAAAAAAAAAAUAAGAGUCCGAAUUGGACCUAGGCUUUUCAGCGACAAAUGGCUCAUUUUGAGUUACGAUCGAGCAAAUGUCAGAGGUACCGGGCAAAAUGUCAAAGGAAGGCUUAAUUUUGUGCUCCUCUUAUGAAGGUUCUCUAUCUAAAGUCAAGUUUCAGAUUUCUGUUGUGAAGAAAUAGUGUGAUUGUAUUUAUUUCAUCAUUGAUUGCAGGUGUUUCUUGAUGAUGGGAAGAAAGAGAGGCUCAUCAAUCAGGAUUAGAAGCUUCCCAACCGGCUCUAACUCAAUAUCGGGUGCUUGGUCCUUUGAUAAAUGGAUGCUCAUGGAUUGAAUUACAACCACUCACUAGCCGAAAGCAUCAGUUGGCUAAUAUUUGGUUGGAGCACAAGGAUUCCCUAGCUGGAGCACUACUUUUGGCCUUAAGGCAACAUUGUUCUGGAGAAAUUUGAGAGGAGGUGGCAUGAAGUAACAAACCAAGUAGGGGAACAUAUCUACCAAUUCUGUUCGACUAUGCCAUUUUAAAAACAGUUGGUCUACGUUGAUGCAGUUGUAUAAUUUACUAUUCCUGAGCUGAACAUCGCUGACCAACCAAAAUGGUGGAAAAGAAGUGUUCCGAAGUGCUUUAGAUCAAGCUGGAGAUAGAGUAGGUGUUGUUCAAUUCUAUGGAAAGCACUGUCUCUGGAUUUUGAGCAAUGGAAGAACUGUAUGCGGUAGUGAUUCUGUUUGGAAGGCCUUGAUUUUUUAUGCCAAAAGUUGUGAAUGCUUCUUUAAUGCUGAUCAACACAAUGAUUUGGCAAAGCCAUAGUAGACGUAAAGAAAAUGUUGGACCAAUUUCAUGAGUUGCCCAAUGCCAACAGCAUAAUUUUCAAAAACGCUAGAUGCAAGGUGCUUUUUAGUAUUAACUUUUUGAAGUUAUUCAAGAAUCUGAUGUCGGCCUGUUCUUCUACUGAAGCAGUCAUGUGGCUAAAGACCCAAGAAGCGCAGUGUACAAAGAAAGUUGUAGUAGCUCUUGACUAAUCUUGAAGAAACUUAAGGUUAAAUCUCAUUGUUUGCACAACAGACUAUUGGAAAGAAAAUGAGAUAAUGUUAAAGGUCUGAGAUGUAUUG